GCGCGCGUGGCGGAAUUGGUAGACGCGAUGGCUUCAGGAGUCAUUGAACGCAAGUUCGUGGAGGUUCAAGUCCUCUCGCGCGCACCA
rnacentral:tRNA from 1 species